GACGAACGCUGGCGGCGUGCCUAAUACAUGCAAGUAGAACGCACAGUUUAUACCGUAGCUUGCUACACCAUAGACUGUGAGUUGCGAACGGGUGAGUAACGCGUAGGUAACCUGCCUGGUAGCGGGGGAUAACUAUUGGAAACGAUAGCUAAUACCGCAUAAUAUUGAUUAUUGCAUGAUAAUUGAUUGAAAGAUGCUAUUGCAUCACUACCAGAUGGACCUGCGUUGUAUUAGCUAGUAGGUGAGGUAACGGCUCACCUAGGCGACGAUACAUAGCCGACCUGCGAUGGUGAUCGGCCACCCUGGGACUGUGACACGGCCCAGACUCAUACGGGAGGCAGCAGUAGGGAAUCUUCGGCAAUGGACGGAAGUCUGACCGCGCAACGCCGCGUGAGUGAAGAAGGUCUUCGGAUCGGAAAGCUCUGUUGUAAGAGAAGAACGGGUGUGAGAGUGGAAAGUUCACACUGUGACGGUAUCUUACCAGAAAGGGACGGCUAACUACGUG
rnacentral:rRNA from 1 species